CGUGCUCCUCCUGAGCACCUCCCCGGGCCCCGCCCCUGGAGGAGCCUCGCCCUUCUGAUAGGGUUGUCCCCUUAGGCCCCGCCCCGCGCCCAGCCUCGCUUUCCUGAUAGGGUCGUCACCCCGGGCCCCGCCCCACGCUGAGCCUCGCCCCAUUUAUGAGGUGGCCCGCCCCGCGCUGAGUCUCGCCCUUCUGAUAGGGUCGUCCCCCCUUGGUCCCGCCCCCCGCAGAGCCUCGCCCUCCUGAUAGGGUCGACCCCGCCGGGCCCCGCCCCAUCCCACGUCCCCAAAUCCGCCCACCUUCCCGGUCUCGGUCCUCUCUCAGACCCGGCCACCUUGCCAGCUUCCCCGGUUUUCUCUGCCCCACCUUCCAAGUUCUCCCGUCCCCAUACCCCCGCGGACUGGCCCCAUGUGCUACCUCCGGGGAGCCGCCGACGGCCGCGCUCGUCAGGCUUCGGGACACCACCUGUGGAGGGAGCGCGGGAGGAGGUUUCAGGGGACUCCCUGCACCAAGGACCUUCCCCCCUACCCGGCGCCCGCCGCCCGCCGCCCUCACCUCGUUGUACUCGGAAAAAUCCAGCACGGCCCGCACCGGAGCAGAGGAGGCGACGGAGGCGAAGAUGAGGUGUUUCCGUGUCUUCCCGUACUUUCCGAAGUAGGCUGCAGUUAGUGCCUUCCUAGGGCACUUAGAACCCCGUACAGCUUGUGAAAACGUGGGGAGACAGAGAAGCGUGGAGGCACAGAGACAGAGUUGGAGAUAGAGAUGACAGAGGUGAGAGUGAGACCGAGAAAGGCCGAGACUGACACAGCCGGAGACCAGGAGAGGGUCCAGGACACUGGCCAGCGGCGGGGGCCCUGGCUGUAUAUGGAAACGCUAAGCCGAAGAUAAGUGACGGGUGCAGACCAAUUUGGAAGCAGGGCCUAGGGGAGCUGACCUGCACACACUGUGCACACAGGAGGUGUGAAAAAUGGGGCAAAAGUGUUCAUCCAUCAGAUCCCUUCCAGUUCCUCUCGUGAGGACUGACUCCCCAGCCCAGAGCCCUGAGAAGCUGAGCCGGUGUAGACGCUGCUGAACUGGGAAACAGUUGGAAGAGAACGUACUGUUUCAGGAAGAAGGGGGAGAAGGAAAGAAAUCUUAGAAGAUGGCUCCUUUGAUGCCUCUGAAGGUCCUCAGCUGACAGCCAAGACCACUGUGGGACGGUGACUUCCUCUCGAGAUGUUUUGGUUAUUUUUACUCUUUGCUUCCUGUUCCAAUAAUGCUUCACUGAACUGCCUGCGGCCUUUAGGACAUUCUUCUCUUCUUUGAUGUAGUGGUGAAGACCGGUUAAAGAAGAAUCACUUUGACGUGCAGCUCUGUUCUUCUCAAGCCCACAUUACACUGUCCUUUGUGUCAGUUCAGUGUGAAGACAUCCAACUAAAUAUCCUCUCGAUAAAACCGAGCCUGGAAUCCUUGGGAUUUUACUGAAUACCAAUCACAGGUUCCUGGACAGGUGGGAAUUCCUUUCCAGCUCUCCAAAAGCAUCCGCCUACUUUACAGCUUGUUUGCGUUGACCUGCUGGUUCUCAUCAGGUUUUUCACAUCUAUCAUAUCAUAUCAUAUCAUAUCAUAUCAUAUCAUCUCCACGUCAAAAAUUUCUACACAGCCAAAAAAAUCUCAUUGUUUCUGCAAAUUCUGAGAAACUGAAAAGUGGGCAAAACCCUGAUGGAUGAAGGCUUCACUAUCAUAGUGAAUAAACCACGCCCCUGUGAACAGGAGACAUGGUGUGCGGGCUGCGAGGGACGUUUAGCAGGAUAUCAUCUGGUUGCUUCCUGGGUAAAACCUUCACGAUAACCAGAAUCUGAUGUGCAGCAAUUUUCACAACCGCGUCCACGUCCGGUCCCACCUUUACUCUUGAUAACGUCCUGUGAACUCCUCCCCCCAUCCGUCUGCACUCGACGGGGCCGACGUGGAACCUGACCGCUCUGUCUUCAUUCACAACCAACCCGUGAGUCCUCCUUCCCUCCGCUCAAAGUCGCUACGCUUUGUAGUGUUAGGUCAUGUUGCUGAUGGCAUUUUUCACAUCUGGGUACCAGGAAUAAGCAACCAAUAAACAGAACACGAGUACUCGUUUGCUGUCCCGAAAUGAUCAUUUCCGAGACAGGUUUCUUUGACUUACUGCUCAAGAUGCCUUCACCCGACUUUUGUGCGAGCUUUGGGUGGACGCUGGGAAAUUGCGUGGCACUUCCAACUUCUGUUAGGAAUGACUUAAGGUCUCCCUGUCCCUGUGGCUUCAGAGAGAUUAGUGCACAGGAGAGAAUCCUAAUGCGAGUCGCCAAUUUAUAUAAAUCAUACCAGAUUUGUUUACUUUUCUUAUUCUUCUCAUGUUCCUUAGAGGUCAAUGCUCACAUUUGUGGGAAUUUAGGCUAAGCCAUGUGAAAACCCCUGUGAAGACAUACUAGAAAUCUUGCCUAAAACUAAUUCGCAUAUGUGUUCCAUUUCCUUCCUUGAGGUUGAAAGAAGAAAUUGGCCAUUCAUUGUCCCAUUUGCAAAAACUGGUUGAACAGCACCUUAUUGUAGGUACCGUGGGUGCUCUGAUGGUGGUAAAAGGAAGCAAGAAAAGUCAAGGAGAUGAGGUAGAAAUAGAAUGGUGACACAGCUGACGACACAGAGCCUGAAGCAGGGCUCGAACCCACAGGCCACGAGAUCAUGACUUGAGCCAAAAUCCAGAGUCGGAUGCUUAACCGACUGGGCCACCCAGGCGCCCCUCAACUCGUUCUGAUGCCCGCAUUCAGACUCCACUGGCCUCCGCAAUUUAGUAGUGGUUACAGAAUGAAAAUCCUGCACUCCACAGUUUCCAAGAGCAAACUGAAGGUACCUUCUUGAGGCCACACUGGGAGUGAUUUUUCAUACCGACUUUUACAUAGACCAACCCUUCACAUUAGCAUUUCUCUACAGAAGACCCCACGGUUAUUUCCUGACCUCAAAAUCCUUCUUUCCCAGUUGACUUGAAGGUUCACAUUUUCCUCCAUUGCUUGACUUCGAAACUUGAGCAUUCCAUAGUAUACUCUGUCAAGCUAAUCUUCAACAUUGCUGGUGACAAUACUCUCCAAAAUUACAGAAAGAAAGGGAGAAGGGUUCUAACACAGGAUAUUCUCUUUAACCGGAUGUGCUAUGAACCCAAAAUACAGAAGUUUUCUGCGAUGCACAGUUUAAGAGCUUUCACUGGGCAACGCUGCUAAUCUGUCCUGAUCAUUUGCAUAGAAAAUACAUCAGCAUCAUACCUGAAGAACAAGAGAAGAUCCUUCUUAAGGACGAAGCAAAUGAAGACAACUUACCAGUUCAUGUGGAGGAUGCGGAUUCAAAGUUAAAGAGAUGCGCCAAAGAUAAGGAGCAUGCUCUCACAGCUCUUAUUUUUAAAGUAAAACCAAGAUGUAUAAAUUGCAUGAUGGAAAGUAGUUGAUCCGCUUUGUUGAAAGCUACAGCUCUCCUUUCUCAAAUAGAAAAAAAGAAAAAAGUGGCUUUUGAGUCUUACUCGGAUACAUGUGUGUAUAAAGUGGGUCAAUGAACUUGAGAAGCAACAGAGAGUAGGAAGUUAGAAGAGAAAUGGGAGGGUUGUAGGGUCCAACAGAGAAAGGAGGACAAGCAGAGGGUGGAUCUGCGGCUGCGCGGCUCCCUGACACCUGCCGGCAGGUGGAUCCGGCCGCGCGGCCAGGCGCGCGCUCCGGGGACAAAGGUUUCCCGCCUCCCUUCUCGGAGUUGAUCCACCCGGGCCUGAGCUCCUCUGCUCUCUCAGGCCCAGCUAGCGGCCCAAACUACGAACUCGCCCUGGUCUCGACUUCUUUUGUCAUGGAUUUGGGGUGUCUGAGUUCUCUGGGGACGGAGAAGGGGCGGAGGCUCUCGAGAGGGGGCGGUGCCUUCCUGCCGACGCCAGCCCAGCACUCGGGCGCCACCGCGCGUCCCGCGGGCCGCCCUGCAGCUCCGGGACACCGUUUCAGACUCUGGGCCGCGCGGCGCGGGGUGCGGGGUCCCGGGCCCCCAGGGUCUGGGCGGAGCCGACCUGCUCCAACCUUUCGCGGGAGCCGGGAGUGUGCGCUGCGCGGCGGCGGCUCCGCGGUCGGCCCCUCCCGGGCUGGGUAGGAGAGAGGAAGCCCCGCUCGGCGCCGUCUGUGUGCUUCUGCAGUUUGGGAAGGACCGGGUUUUCCCGGGAAGGAGCCCGGCUCAGCUGUGUCGACCCUGGGACGUCUCCUUUCCCUUUCCUUCUAGAAGAAACAGCGUGUCCGAGCCUUCCGUAGGGAAAGGCGCCCGUCACCCUUGGUUCGUGGUGACUUUAAAAUGUGAAGUACGAGGACUCGACAGGCCGAUGCUGACCUGGGCGGACCUGCGCUCGCCCACAGCCUGCGAGGAGACUCAGCCCCGCGCCCACAGCACGGAGCCCGGCCCUUCUACCCCUUCCUGCGAGCCUGAUGAGCCUCCCGGUUUCCGUCUGGCUCGGAUAAGGAAGCAUCUUUCUGCUGGCCGAGUCCCUUCAUCGCCCGAGCACAGUUUCCAGAACUCAGGGGGCUUCUGGAGCAGAAUUCUGGAACUCCAGGCUCGGUAGGAUGGUUAUGGGCGCAACGUUGUUGAAGCCACGCCAUCCGGAGUCUAUAACCAAGCAUAUCUGGUGGCGUGGUCUUCUCCUGUGAGGCUUUGAAGACUUGUGCUUUGUUGAAGAUAAAGCUGGCCUGUGGCUGAUUGCAGAUGCUUUCAGGGAAGUGAAGUAAAACAGAAUGACUAUGUAUAGAUGUCAGAAGAUUUAAAGGGGCCGUAAUUAAUUUAUUACUUAACGAUUUUCAAAAGCAAGAGAUCUGGUGAGAAUUCAUAACGAGGAGACUGCCACUAAGGAGUUUUGGUUGUUUCUGUGAUACAAAAACGAGAUGAGAAAGCCAAUCCAAAAUAAGUUUUAGACAAAAUAGCUACAGACAUAGUGAUCUACCAUAUUUUCAAAGGAGAUAGAAAACACUGCGUGGGACUUAUAGCAGUGGAUGAACAUAAUUCCCACAGAGAAAAAGUCUUGAAACAGACAUAUAAUAAUCCUGAGACCUAAUAUGCUGCAAAUAUACAAAUCACAUAGUAAGAAUAAUAUAUCAACAAUAUGAGACAGUUGUGGUAAGUCUGGAGUAAGUUCUACAUAUUUAUACAUUAAUUAGACUCCAUAGGCAAGUGAUGUAAAUCCCAUUUGAAAUUCAGAAGCCCAGAAGAUGCUAGAUUCAAAUUAAAGAAGUAAAGUUGCGACCAAGUAAACGUUUAAAAAAAUAGCUAAAAUUAUGACUGAUGACACUUCACUACUGUUGUCUAAUAUCAGAGAAAACAGCACCAGGACUUUCUAUGUUGGUGGAAACAUGUCAUGGGCAGUAAGAGCAACGAUAAGUCUCCAGGAAUUUCCCAUUCGGUGUACCAUUUCUGAAAUAUUCGUAUUAACGUUUUCACCAUGCAAAUCUGACUUAGGGAAGCCUAGGCCUUUCUCCUCCUCCUCCUCCUCCUCCUUCCUUUCCUCCUCCCCCUCCCCCUCCUUCUGGCAUCCCUUCUGAUUUUCACCUCUUCCUGUGCAACUCAUCAAUAAUAGCCUAUCAAAUAGCCCUGGUUCUCUUCACUAUCUGCCUUUUUGCAAGGGGACAGAACGCAUCGUUAGGAUUUUCCAGGCGCCUUCGGGGAAGUCUCAACCACAGGUGUAGGUGGAAACAGUACCUUGAAAGUUUUAGUUGACAUUUAGGAUUCGAUUGGGGGAAGGCAAAGGUUAAAACCGACCAGAACAUUUGAACACUUAGGAGAGGAAACAAACCAUGACUGCUGGAGAGCUUACGUGGUUAUUGGUUUCAAAGUUACAAUAAAACAGUUAAAACUAAGCACAGAAGGUAGCAUGACUGUAAACGACAUUAUUCCCAUGUAAGAAACCUUUGUUUUCUUCAGGAAAGACGACACAAUCAGUGUAAACUAUAAAGCUUAUUCUGCUAAAAAACAGAAUAUUUGCUGUCGGAGAAGGUUACACAGGGGAAACAGAAAGAACCGGUCAUAUUAUGGGUGAGGGCACCGAGCAGUUAACCAAAGGAACAAACACAUCAAAGUGAAGCAAACCUUCCCAGAUUUUGGUAUAUUCCGUGGCUCUUCAAACUCAGGUAUUCUAAAUGGGGAUAAAUAAAAUUAACCUGCCAAUUUUGCCCAUCAUUAUGUUCUUCCACACCCUGGGACAGUCUGACACUGUCCUGGCUUCAGGAGUCCACGAGGUUGGAACUGAUUUCACACCAUUGCUGAGAUGUUACCAACGUGGAUUGUGUCCGACUGUGCGAUCUCCAGAUGCGCUAAGAAGUACGAUUUUUUAAACUGCGUGUUGGGAUUGUUUGUAAUGGAACAAGCAUUUCCAGUCAAGUUCGUAUUUUCGAUACUUAAACCUCCAAGACGUAGUUUAUUCAACUGUUUACAGCGUUUUUCAACUGCAGCUUUCCAGCGUAAAGGGCCCGUGAAAUCCCAGGCUUCUGACCUCCCUCCCAGGGGAACCGACUGGAACGCUGAAGAACGAAACAAGAAACAGGAGGCUCUCGCGAUCUAAUUGAUCCUCAGCGUGAGAAGUGUUCUGCCCGUUCCAGAAUGUACAUGUUAGGGGCUGUGUGGUGUAUCGUGGUUAUUAGACCGCUGUGAAUCUGGGAUCUGGAAAUAUCGUCCCCCGUUAUGUUACCCACUGGCCUGUUGAUGGAGGAACCUAAUGGCGGAUCCUUACUUUUUUGUUAAGGGUUGUCUUUCCCCCCCGCCCCAUGGUUUGCCCUUUUGAGGUUAGGCUUAAAGGGCCUUUCUCUGUUACUAAGUUAAAAACUGUUCUCCUCUCUCAACAAAAAAUGUGCCGAUUUUCUUUUUCACGUUUGAGACGUCGAUCCAUCUACUUUUCUAGAUAAGUGUGUUGGUUUUUUAUGACAAUCUGUUGGAAUUGUGUCUUCCAGUUCUCAAGAGUUUUUUGGUUUGGUAAGGGUGCCCAGCAGGUGAACUUGCUCACUUAGCGUCCUAUGUUUCCUUUCUCUUAGCUGCUUCACGUUUUUUACGCAAUUACAUAUUUCAUAAAAUUAUGUGU